rnacentral:misc_RNA from 1 species
AAGCAUGCUAUUUGAGUACCUAGAAAAUCGAUUUAUACAAAAUUCUAUGAAAUGGUGCGACAAUUAACAAAAUAAGGAGGGAACUAAUCACGAUUAAACUAACCAAGACGACAGAAAAUAAGCCUUAACCGAUUCAGACGACUGAUAUUUAUAAAAUCAAAGAGGAACUAAGCAUUAUAAGACAAAAUGUAGAAAACAAAGCACACAAACAG